rnacentral:lncRNA from 1 species
GUGCAACAGGAUUUGAGUGUGCAAAGCGACUUGCAUGUGCAACAGCAUUUGUACAAAGCAACUUGGACGUGCAAUGGGAUGUGAGUGUGCAAGGCAACUUGGAUGUGAAAUGGGAUUUGGACGUGCACUAGGACUUGGAUGUGCAACAGAAUUUGAGUGUGCAACGAGAUUUGUACGUGAAGUGGGAAUAGAGUGUGCAAGGCUACUUGGACAUGGAAGAGGAUGUAGGCGUGCAGCACAACCGGGGUGUGCAAUGGGAUGUGGAAGUGCACCACAAUUAGGAUGUGUGGUGGCACGUGGGUGUGCAAAAAAAGUCCGCGUGCAAUGGGAUUUGGAUGUGCCGUGCAAAUUGAGAGUGCAACAGGACUUGGAGGUGAAAGAAGAGGUGGACGUGCAAGGGGAUCAAUUUGCAACAGGAUUGGGUUGUGCAAGGAGACUUGAGUGUGCAAGGGAGCGUGGUUCCCUGGGACUUGAGCGUGCAACGGGACGUGCAAGAGGACCCAGACGUGCAACAGGACGAUUGUGCAAGAGGACUUGAAUGUGCAACAGGACAGGGAUGUGCCAUGGGAUGAGUGUGCAAGAGACAGUGCAAUGGGACAUGUGUGCACAAUGGGGUGUGCAAUGGGGCAUGGGCGUGCAGUGGGUUGUGCAACGGGGAACGGGCGUGCAAGAGUGUGCAGUGGGGUUUGCACACUCAUUAGCAUGCAGGGGACACGGGGUACAAGUGCUCACACGCACUUUGCACAAGAGUCUGCGUUUGAGCAUUGUGCUGAGCGUGCAAGGAUCACGUGCGUGUGCAAACACCCCUGUCCCUUGCACCAGUGUGCACACUUCACCUUUACUCAUUUGCUUUUCCCACUGGCCCUCACAAAUGCUCAGACAUGACCCUUGCACACUCACACCCUUGCACACCUGUGCCCCUUGCACACUCACUCCUCUUCCGACCCACACGCCCCUUGCACACUCACAUCUCCUCAGACCCCCACACACCUUGCACAUCCACACCCCUUGCACACCCACAGACCUUGCACAAUCACUCCUCUUCCAACCCCCACGCCCCCUGCACACUCACUUUUCCUCAGACCCCCCCACCCCUUGCACACCUGUGCCACUUGCACACUCUUCUCAGACCCCAUGCCCCUUGCACAGCCCCACCCCUUGCACACCCGUGCCAUUUGCACACUCACACCUCUUCCGACCUCCACACCCCUUGCACUUUCACUUCUUCUCAUACCCGCGCACCCCUUGCACACCUGCACCCCUUGCACACCCGCACCCCUUGCACAUUCACUCCACUUCUGACACCCACACCCGUGGCACACUCACUUCUCCUCAGACCCCCAUGCCCCCUGCACACCAGUGCCCCUUGCACACUCACUGCUCCUACCCCCCAUGCCCCAUGCACACCCACACCCCGUGCACACCAGUGCCCCUUGCACACUCACUCCUCUU